rnacentral:rRNA from 1 species
UGGGGAAUAUUGCACAAUGGGCGCAAGCCUGAUGCAGCCAUGCCGCGUGUAUGAAGAAGGCCUUCGGGUUGUAAAGUACUUUCAGCGGGGAGGAAGGCGAUAAGGUUAAUAACCUUGUCGAUUGACGUUACCCGCAGAAGAAGCACCGGCUAACUCCGUGCCAGCAGCCGCGGUAAUACGGAGGGUGCAAGCGUUAAUCGGAAUUACUGGGCGUAAAGCGCACGCAGGCGGUCUGUCAAGUCGGAUGUGAAAUCCCCGGGCUCAACCUGGGAACUGCAUUCGAAACUGGCAGGCUAGAGUCUUGUAGAGGGGGGUAGAAUUCCAGGUGUAGCGGUGAAAUGCGUAGAGAUCUGGAGGAAUAGCGGUGGCGAAGGCGGCCCCCUGGACAAAGACUGACGCUCAGGUGCGAAAGCGUGGGGAGCAAACA